rnacentral:rRNA from 1 species
UACGUAGGUGACAAGCGUUGUCCGGAUUUACUGGGCGUAAAGAGCGCGCAGGCGGUCGUUCAAGUCGAGUGUGAAAGCCCCCGGCUCAACUGGGGAGGGUCAUUCGAUACUGAUCGACUCGAAGGCAGGAGAGGGUAGUGGAAUUCCCGGUGUAGUGGUGAAGUGCGUAGAUAUCGGGAGGAACACCGGUGGCGAAGGCGACGUCCUGGACCGGCAUUGACGCUGAGGCGCGAAAGCCAGGGGAGCAAACGGG